AAAAAAAAAACUGUCUGCUGGGUCCAUAGCUGGUCAGUUCAUUGUAUGCCGAUGCCUCUGUAUGUCUUCAGUGUCCCAUCAUGGUUUUUCUCCUCUGUGCAUUUUCUUGGAUUUUGAAUUUUAAAUUUUUGAGUUCGACAUUUUCUAGUAAGCUUUUGUUGCCUUUUAUUUAGUUAUUUUUUCAUUAAACCACUUUUAGUUCUGCAACUGGGUCCUUUUUCAGUUUGUUUGGCUCCGGACUGUGACAUAUUGUUCACCAUUAAUAGUAUAGUCCCAUGUUUGCAAGCGCAUCAGUGAUUUUUGGCUCAUUCAUGUAUUUCCACUACAGAGUCAUAUCUGUU